GGGGGGGCCGGGUCCUAAUACGUGCAAGUCGAGCGAACUAGAUUAGAAGCUUGCUUUCUGAUGCACGUUAGCGGCGGACCCGUGAGUAACACGUGGGCCACCUGCCUGUAAGACUGGGAUAACUUCGGGAAACCGAAGUUAAUUCCGGAUAAGGUUUUUUCCUUCCUGGGAGAUGAUUGAAAGAUGGUUUUGGUUUUCACUUCCCGCCGGGCCCGCGGUGCAUUAACUAGUUGGUAAGUUACCGGCUCACCAAGGCACCGAUGCAUAGCCGACCUGGAAGGGUGAUCGGUCACCCUGGGACUGAGACACGGCCCAGACUCCUACGGGAGGCAGCAGUAGGGAAUCUUCCGCAGUGGACGAAAGUCUGACAGAGCAACGCCGCGUGAGUGAUGAAGGCUUCCGGGUCGUAAAACUCUGUUGUUAGGGAAGAACAAGUACGAGAGUAACUGCUCGUAUCUUGACGGUACCUAACCAGAAAGCCACGGCUAACUACGUGCCAGCAGCCGCGGUAAUACGUAUGUGGCAAGCGUUAUCCGGAAUUAUUGGGCGUAAAGCGCGCGCACGCGGUUUCUUAACUCUGAUGUGAAAGCCCACGGGCUCACCCGUGGAGGGUCAUUGAGAAACUGGGGGAACUUGAGUGCAGAAGAGAAGGAGCGGAAUUCCUCGUGUAGCGGUGAAAUGCGUAUAGAUGUGGGAGGAACACCAGUGGUCAAAGGCGGCUUUUUUGCUUCUGUAAUUUGACGGCUGAGGCCGCAAAAGUCGUGGGGCAGCAAACCCGGAUUACGAUCCCCUGGGGAUUCCCCCGCCGUUAAAACGAUGAUUUGCUAAGCUGUUAGGGGGUUUUCGCCCUUUUUUGUUUUAGCUGGCGCCUUAAACACUCCGCCUUUAAAGUUCUCCCAUAAGGCCGAACCACGGGGCAAUUCGCGGGGGCCCUUACAAGCGGUGGAGCAUAAGGUUUUUUUGGAAGCCCCCCGAAGAACCUUACCGGUUUUUAACAUGCCGGUUAUUUUUUCAGAGAUAGAGCGUGGCCCUUCCCUAUUACAAUUUGACCGGUGGACCUUGGUUCCCGCCAAAUUCCUGUCGGUGGGAAUUUUUUUUAAGCCCCGCCUCCGGCGCAAAAAUUAAAAAAAGGUGCCAUCCUUGGGUUUGGCUUUUUAAGGUGACUGCCGGUGACAAACCGGAGGAAGGUGGGGAUGACGUCAAAUCAUCAUGCCCCUUAUGACCUGGGCUACACACGUGCUACAAUGGAUGGUACAAAGGGCUGCAAGACCGCGAGGUCAAGCCAAUCCCAUAAAACCAUUCUCAGUUCGGAUUGUAGGCUGCAACUCGCCUACAUGAAGCUGGAAUCGCUAGUAAUCGCGGAUCAGCAUGCCGCGGUGAAUACGUUCCCGGGCCUUGUACACACCGCCCGUCACACCACGAGAGUUUGUAACACCCGAAGUCGGUGGAGUAACCGUAAGGAGCUAGCCGCCUAAG
rnacentral:rRNA from 1 species